rnacentral:misc_RNA from 1 species
AAUUUUUAAUGUGCAUACACAGCAGAAAUCAUUUGUGUCGAAGUCCAAGUAAUUUCCUUUCUGUUGGGUGGAACUGAGCCCAAAAUAUUCAGAAGCCCAAUGACAUCAUCCCCAAUUCUCCAUAUUCAAUAUCAUCUCUAAAAUCAAGCGUUACAGUUACAGACAUUGCUAUAGUUUGCUGAAAAUGGCUACUAUUUUUAAGCUUUGGUUUCUUCUUGUUAUCUUGAAAUGUAGCAUGGAAUUCAUAACUGAGUUGUAACAUGUCCCAUUACUUAUCUGCAUGUACUUUAUAUGUCAAAUUUUUCUCAUG